rnacentral:lncRNA from 1 species
AUGGGAAGAUACUAGCAGAAGUAGGAGAAAAGGCCUGUGGAAUAUGUCCAUAUUUGCAUUUGAGAAACAACACUGGCUGCUCUCUGAAGAGACUAUGCGGAGCAGAAACAAAGCAAGGUCAGAAGGAAACUACUUGCUCAAAAGGAGACCAGAGGAAUGAAAAUGUGGUAUAACCAGGAGUUGCGAAGUGGUCGUAGUUGUUCAUGUCUCAAUCUGGAUCAUCUUUGCUUUUUGCUUCUGCUUUGUGCUAUCCCUCUUCCCGUACCUCAGUUCUAUCUGGGUCUCACUCUGUUGCCCAGGCUGGAGCACAGUGGCAUGAUCUCAGCUCACUGCAGCCUCCACCUCCCAGGUCAAAGCAAUUCUCCCACCUCAGCCUCCCAAGUAGCUAGAACUACAGGAACCAUGAUCUGUGACUGCCAUGGAAAAGUGUUGGGCAGGAGGAGGCCAGCUGGGUCUUUGAAGUUGACAAUGGAGCCAGGAAUGAAAGCUGCACUUAGGAUGAGAAUUGCUUUCCCUGGAGCCAAGUCAGCAAAUGCAGUCUGGUUGUCAGAGCUGAGAGGCUUCACCAAGUCAAGUAGGGGAGGACAUCUUCACUCUGCAACUUGCCCUACUGAAUGCAGAAAGUACUGUCUACUUAGAUAAAGCCUACACUAAAAGGGAAUUGAAUCUCUGCAAAUAAUCCCAGUGAGAUGAACCAGGUACCUCAGUUGGACAUGGAGAAAUCACCUGUCUUCUGCAUUGUUCUCCCUGGGAGCUGUAGACAGGAGCUUUUCCUAUUUGGCCAUCUUGGAAGUGCCCCAUCAUUUCUUCUAAAAAUAUUUAAGCUUCUUGAGCACCAAUUAUGUUUCAAUAAAAUCAUGACAAUUGUGACUUAAGAAAGAUUCAUUACAAGAUGACUAUAAAAUAUCAUGAAAGAUGUGAAAGUUAGAUAUAAAUAUUACUGUUUAAUCAUCUGCCUGCCUAGACUUCUUUUUCUCAACAAAGUACCUUACCCUAUCC